AGAGUUGCAUGAUAUGUUCCAUGCAUCUGAAACAAAGCUGAUAUCUCAAGAUUUUCUGUGGAUUCACAGCAUUAACUGUCUUGUUGUUUUUCCACUUUGUAUUCUGUCAAUAAUUUAUUUAUAUGUUUUACUUGUUGAACUGUGUUAGACCAGGCCGUGAGGGUUCUUUUGUCUCAAUGAAGCACUGUGGUUAAUUGCUUAAAAACUGAGUGACUGUGCUGAAGCUAAGAACAAGGACCAGAGUGGAAGAACAAAGGACCAAAGUACUGUACUCUUCUGUACUCUAUGCGGUUUAUGAAUUCUCAACUUAUAAGACCAGUGUUUAUUGUAUUUUGCUCCUCGGUCAUUAUAAUUGGAUGUUAUGCAUCAACUACAUAAGAUUUAUUAAUUGUGCAAAAGUCCUUUGAUUUUCUGUUAUACUGGUGUCCACUGUAGGAGUCUUUCUAUCUCAAUGAAGCACUCAGGUCAAGUAGUUUAAAUAUAAAAUUCAAUACCAGAGUUUAUUUAUUAGAUUAAAACAUUAACACUGGAGGGGUAUCCAAGCAAAAUUUGCUCUCAGCAUUGAUCCACACUUCUAAUGUGAGUGUUAGUUUAUUUAUUGUCUGUGUGGGGUGAGGUCAAGCGAGGCUGCUCAAAGCGGUGGUCAGCAUGAGUUACCACAUCCGGCCCCAUUAGUGUUAGCUGCAUAGCUGGGAGCACAGUGCGAGCAAUGAGCUGGAGGCUGUACAGACACACAGGAUACACCCCUACAGACAGAGGUGCACGAGGGGAACCGAUAUCGCUUCACUGUGACCGGGAGGGAGCUGAUCCAGGGAACUGAUCUGCCUCCCUCUGAGUCUCAGUGUUAUUUCUACACAUAGGGGAGACAGCUGACUGAGACUCUUUCAGUCUGUGAACGGUUUGUCGCUGGGUCUGAGCUGCUCAGAGGAAGGGGUCAGUGCAGAAAUCAAGAUUAGAAUGAGCUGCCAGUGUAUUGAGAACGUACAAUGUACAAUGUCAAGUUCCUAUACAGUGAAGAUGCUAUGGUAACUGUGCUUCAUAUAUCAAUAUUACUCUGUUACUUCUUCAUAGGCUUUUCCUUCCUUUUUUCUUUCACUAAUGAAACACUUCUAAUGAAGACAGGAAGUACAAACAUUGUGUGUGGUCCAGACUGUAAUUGUCAGUGUUGUUUGCUGAUCUGUUCCUUUCCUUUUUUUUGCUCUCUCAGAGUCGGCCAGGUUUCUGUGGCGACACAUCCUCAGUGCUCUGGUCCUCUUGGCUGCUAUUGGAAUACUCAUAGAAUACUUCAUCUCCCACACACCAACCACAGGCAGGAAGAGGAGAGAGAGUGAGAACACCGGACAGUUUGUGG